rnacentral:rRNA from 1 species
UACCAGCACCCCGAGUGGUCGGGACGUUUAUUGGGCGUAAAGCGCGUGUAGGCGGCUUUGCAAGUCGGAUGUGAAAGCCCUCGGCUCAACCGAGGAAGUGCGUUCGAGACUGCAGAGCUUGAGUGCCGGAGAGGGUGGCGGAAUUCCCCAAGUAGAGGUGAAAUUCGUAGAUAUGGGGAGGAACACCGGUGGCGAAGGCGGCCACCUGGACGGUCACUGACGCUGAGACGCGAAAGCGUGGGUAGCAAACAGG